GACGAACGCUGGCGGCGUGCUUAACACAUGCAAGUCGAGCGGUAAGGCCCUUUCGGGGGUACGACGAGCGGCGAACGGGUGAGUAACACGUGGGUGACCUGCCCUCAGCUCUGGGAUAAGCCUGGGAAACCGGGUCUAAUACCGGAUAUGACUCCAUGACGCAUGUUGUGGGGUGGAAAGCCUUGUGCGGCUGAGGAUGGGCCCGCGGCCUAUCAGCUUGUUGGUGGGGUGANGGCCUACCAAGGCGACGACGGGUAGCCGGCCUUGGCGGGUGAACGGCCAC
rnacentral:rRNA from 1 species